GUACAUGUGCAGGUUUGUUACAAGGGUAUAUUGUGUGAUGCUGAUAUUUGGAGUAUGCUAAUUGUCCUAUCACCCAGGUAGUGAGCAACCACUAAAGUUAACCAACUUUAACCAAAACAGCAUGGUGUUUGUGCAAAAACAGACACAUACACAAAUGUUGCUAUAAUCGAAGCUGCAGUUAGGACAGGGCUUCUGGAGUGGAGGGAUGAAAGCAGCGGGGUCGGAAGGGGGUGUAUCCUGGGGGAGCCAGGAAAGUACAGAAGGAAAGGGGAGUCUGCAGUGGAGGACAUGGGGCAAGCCAGACUUGGAGAAUUGCCAGAGCAUGGCAUUUGUUGUCGGGUGUGCUGGCAACAGGGCAAGAGCAAGAGAAGGAACCAAGGCCUUGGUGGGUUCCCAGGAGACAGGGUAGAACUAGCCCUCAUGGCUGACCCUUCAGCCUUCUCACCAUCAGGACCUGAGGUCCCAGCUGGUCCCUGCUCAGGGCUUCCUGUGAAUAGAAACUUGCUUCUCUGCUCCAAGCACCCACCAGCUGCCAGCCCAGUGAGCAGUGCCAUCCAGUGGCAGUCAACACCCUAAUACAGACAACACGUGCACACUAGGAGAAGUUUUCCAUUGCAUCCCUAGGAUAACUAUACAACCAAAGGGCACCCCGGACACCUAGUGGGGGUGCAA
rnacentral:lncRNA from 1 species